UACAGAGGUCCCAAGCGUUAUCCGGAAUUAUUGGGCGUAAAGAGCUCGUAGGCGGUUUGUCGCGUCUGCCGUGAAAGUCCGGGGCUCAACUCCGGAUCUGCGGUGGGUACGGGCAGACUAGAGUGAUGUAGGGGAGACUGGAAUUCCUGGUGUAGCGGUGAAAUGCGCAGAUAUCAGGAGGAACACCGAUGGCGAAGGCAGGUCUCUGGGCAUUAACUGACGCUGAGGAGCGAAAGCAUGGGGAGCGAACAGG
rnacentral:rRNA from 1 species